rnacentral:misc_RNA from 1 species
CACGCUCGUGCGUCGAACUGUCAAACCGCGGUCUCCUCAGUUCAAGGCCGCGUGCACGACGUGCCCAGCGGUCGAAGGUCGGGUUCCUGUGCUGCGUGCCCACGCAAGCGGAAAUCGGUCCGUUUCUGUCCAACAUCCGCCCGACGCCCGUUCGGGGCGUGAGGCGAACGUCGCGGCGCCUCCCGUGCUCCACCCGGGUCUCUUGGACCGUCGUGGCUCGCGGAAGGCUGCCCGUGCUUCGGGAUGCGGAAGGCCUCGUGCGGCGGGGGGACCUUUGUCUCCGCCGCUGAAAGACCGUCCACGGAAGAGGGACGACCUGCGUCUCCCGUCUCCGGCCCAAGGCGGAGCGGGGGUCGAGGUCGCGAAGGAAUGC